rnacentral:rRNA from 1 species
ACUCAAAUGAAUUGACGGGGACCCACACAAGCGGUGGAGCAUGGGGUUUAAUUCGAUGAUAAGCGAAGCACCUCACCCAGGCUUGACAUGGUUGGAAUCCGGCAGAAACGUCGGAGUGCCGCAAGGAACCAACACACAGGCGCUGCACGGUCGUCGUCAGCUCGUGCCUUGAGGUGUACUGUUAAGUCAGCCAACGAGCGCAACCCUUAUCUCAUGUUACUAUGUCAUGAGAGACUGCCGCCUCCAAGGCGGAGGAAGGUAAGGAUGACGUCAGAUCAGCGUGGCCCUUAUGCCUGGGGCAACACCCGUGCUACAAUGGUCGGUACAAACGGCCGCGAACCCGCGAGGGGAAGCCAAUCCGAGAAAACCGACCUCAGUUCAGAUUGAAGUCUGCAACUCGACUUCAUGAAGUUGGAAUCGCUAGUAACCGUGAAUCAGCUACGUCACGGUGAAUAUGUUCCUGGGUCUUGUACACACCGCCCGU